rnacentral:rRNA from 1 species
ACUCCUGCGGGAGGCAGCAGUGGGGAAUUUUGGACAAUGGGCGAAAGCCUGAUCCAGCAAUGCCGCGUGAGUGAAGAAGGCCUUCGGGUUGUAAAGCUCUUUUGUCAGGGAAGAAACGGUGAAAGCUAAUAUCUUUUGCUAAUGACGGUACCUGAAGAAUAAGCACCGGCUAACUACGUGCCAGCAGCCGCGGUAAUACGUAGGGUGCAAGCGUUAAUCGGAAUUACUGGGCGUAAAGCGUGCGCAGGCGGUUUUGUAAGUCUGAUGUGAAAUCCCCGGGCUCAACCUGGGAAUUGCAUUGGAGACUGCAAGGCUAGAAUCUGGCAGAGGGGAGUAGAAUUCCACGUGUAGCAGUGAAAUGCGUAGAUAUGUGGAGGAACACCGAUGGCGAAGGCAGCCCCCUGGGUCAAGAUUGACGCUCAUGCACGAAAGCGUGGGGAGCAAACAGGAUUAGAAACCCGGGUAGUCCCAUGA